UACGUAGGGUGCAAGCGUUGUCCGGAUUUAUUGGGCGUAAAGAGCUCGUAGGUGGUAUGUCGCGUCGUUUGUGGAAACCGGGGGCUUAACUCUCGGCUUGUGGAUGAUACGGGCAUGCUUGAGUUCGGUAGGGGAGACUGGAAUUCCUGGUGUAGCGGUGAAAUGCGCAGAUAUCAGGGGGAACACCGGUGGCGAAGGCGGGUCUCUGGGCCGAUACUGACGCUGAGGAGCGAAAGCGUGGGGAGCGAACAGG
rnacentral:rRNA from 1 species